rnacentral:rRNA from 1 species
UACGGAGGGUGCAAACGUUGCUCGGAAUCAUUGGGCGUAAAGCGCACGUAGGCGGUCUCAUAAGUCGGGUGUGAAAGCCCCGGGCUCAACCCGGGAAGUGCAUUCGAAACUGUGAGGCUUGAGUACAGAAGAGGGUCGCGGAAUUCCCGGUGUAGAGGUGAAAUUCGUAGAUAUCGGGAGGAACACCAGUGGCGAAGGCGGCGACCUGGGCUGAUACUGACGCUGAGGUGCGAAAGCGUGGGGAGCAAACAGG